rnacentral:lncRNA from 1 species
ACAACGUGUCCGCUUAGGCGGCGAUAUGCGCCGCCAUCUUCUUUGCGGGCAAAGGCCGAAAAAAGUUUGGGACUCCACUCCCCCCCGCUGAGCCGAUGGAGGGCAUCGCCCGCUGCCUCAGCACUCUGGUGACGUGGAAUCGGGGUCCCCUCUUUCAGGGCUGAUUUCUGGUAGCACGCUGACGCCUGCCAAGGCAGGGAAAGGGGACGCCGCCUCUGUCCCGGAUGUAAGAUGGCGGCGCGGGGGGCGGCCUGGCGGGGCGGUCACGUGGUGAGGAGUAGCGCGCGAGCCUCCUUAAGUGAUCUCUAAGGUUCGUCCGGACGCACAGGAGCAGCGGAGCGCGAGACGGGUCUUGUGUCCGCACGCGUCGAGUCGUCGCAGUCGCCACCCGGGCCAUCGCCGGGCCCGGUUUCACUGUUAAGGGGUUUUCGUUUGUUCCGUUUUCGCCUCCUGUAGAGCUGAACGGGAAUUCCCCGAAGGGUGCUGGGGAACGGGUGGCCUGGGGACUUCCCGGCUAUGCCUUGGCUGCUGUUUGGCGGAGCCGGCGGCAGCCUCUGCGGGAUGCCCGCCGGCGAUUAUCGGCGCCGAGAGCGGGCCGGCGGCGGGUUCGACAGCGCGGCGCGGGUGGGGGCCCGGGUACCGGACUCGGCCGCAGCCCAGCCCCCACCGGGGACUCGGAGCAGGGAGGGGCGCGAGCGGCGCAGCUCGGGACGUGGCGGCAGCUCCUAGCGGGCGAAGCGCGGGAGCGCUGCUCGCUGCCUCUCGGGGGCAGUCCAGAACCAGUUGGUGUCUGACUGCGCUUUUGCCGCCCAUUUCCUGCUUUCGAGCGGCUGAGGCGACGCGCUCCCCUCGGGCAGUGGAGGGAGCGGCUCUCUCCGCAGGACACCGCCGCUUUUCUCUCUUCAGAGCGGUGGCUGACGUACAGAACGCCGGCUGUAUCACCCGGGCGCCGGCGCCGCCUCUCAUCCCCGUAGCUCUCGGGGCGCGCCGGGAGUAGCCGAGCCGCUGGGUGCUGGGCGGGGUCUCCGGGCGCGGCGCGGGGGGAAGGCAAAGGAAAAGAAGGGGCGGCGGGCCGACGUCGGCGGCGAGGAAGGACGGAGGAGCGCCGGAGCCGCUUUGCUGCCCUCCGCGUGGUCCCGUGCCUCCCCGACACCAUGGCCCUGGCUGAGGUAGUAGUUUGUGCUGUUGGUCGGGUUGUGACAUUGCCCGCUGUGGAGAUAACUGCGCAAGCUACUGCCUUGCUAGUGCUGGUGAUGCUCAGCGCCGCGGAGGACAAUGGCUGGGAAUCCCCUUUGUUUUCCGGGGCGCUGCCUGGGGACAGCCCGCGAAGCCUCGGCGCCCGGCCGGCGCGGCCACCACGGAAACCGUUAGUUUCACAUUUUCCUAGAAGGAAUUGAGGGGAGUGGGGUGGACCGCGAUGCAUUUUAAAGGUUGGGAAAGAGCUAAGCCAUUGGAUUCCUUUUCUUGAAGGAAGGAGUGGAAUUGUGUAAGAUAAUUGAUACAGAUAACUUUUUCACCCUAAAAAAUUCUAACACUUCUUUCAGCAGUUAAAUGCCAAAUUUAGUGUGUACCUGUUUUACUUCAUUCUUUAGCUGUAGGUUGGAGUGGUGUGAGCGAUCUGCAGAACUGGCAUUAGAGGGGCAGAAGAAGUAGACCUGAUAAUUAAAGUUUAUGCCUUAACAUUUUAGAUCUGGUUUCUGAUAUGCUCUCUUAGUAAAUCUGAGUGUGUCUUUAAAAACGUAAACCCAAAGCAAUUUAAAGUUUCUCUUUAAACUUUGCAACUCGCGAAUGAGAAGAUUGAAAUUAUUUGUAGGUAAUUGCACUAUUCCGAUUUUUUAAUGUAUGAGGCAAACAAAUAAAUUCUAUGUACAGUGUGCUGUGAAUGGUUUUGUUUUUUGUUUUUUCUUUUUAGUUUAACCUUGGGGCUCAGAUUCUGCUGGUGUGGUGGGUUGGUUUUUUGGUUUUUAUGGCCUUUGAUUCUAAUGUUAUGUGGUACUUACAUCUUUGAGGUUUUGUAUGGGAGAAGAGGACUAGGAAUUGAAAGUGGUUUCUAGAUUUGAGUUUAAAAUCUACUAACACUCAUUUUGAUUCCUGAGUGGCCACUACUCCUAAUAGGAAAAUACCUUUGCAUAGAGAAAAAAGGUAGUUUGGAUAACUAAUGAAAAUACUCAGUGCUCUAAUACCCUGAAGUCUGCGUGGAAAACAAGAUACUUGUAUUUUUAUUUUAUUUUCACUGAGGGAAGUAAGUGGUCAGUUUUAGUACUUUUCGUUGAAAACUGAUCUGUAUUUGUACAGAAUAAGUAGUUUUGAAUAUAAUGUAAUCGCAGUUUUCUAUGGUUUUCUGAUGCUCAGUUGAAAAACAAAUAAGGCAGUUCUUUAAACCAACCAAACCCUUCAGCAGGAGUUUGAUGCUUUUAUCAUUCAAAAGUGAUCUAAUAUAUGUGCCUUGAUUGGGUUUGGUUUAGCCUUGAGAAUAACCUUACUUAAUCUGAUCUCAUCAGGAUGGAGCCGCCUCAUUGUGGGAAGGGCGGUGAAGAACCUUAUCUUGAAUCUUAAGAUGCAGAAAAUGCUUGAAUGUUGGCUCUUGAAGUUUGCUUUUCUUGAUAGCAACGCAGAGUAAAUUCAGGGCUUUGUUAAGUGCUUGUUUUCUUAAAUAAUGAAAACCUCUGCGGUGCUGUGUCAAAUCUUGGUUUAUGGAGAAACUAAUCAUAACAUGCUAAUUUCAUUAUGAUUUUAUUUUCCAAAACACUUCAUUCAACCAACCGAGGUAAUCUUCCAACCCACUACACUCUAACAUUUUUAUGGAGAAUCAACGGUUGUUAAUCUGCACCCCAAAGUAUAACAAAUUCUGCUGGUAAUUUAAACUUUAAGCGGAUAAGCACACCAGAAAUGCUCAAUGUCCUAUACAGAUAAACUAUUCAUACUUUAUAUCUUGUGUUUUUAAAGUAAAUUUUAUCCACAACUACAUAUUGCCCAAAUAGUAGUAACAUUUUUGAGUUAUUGGAUGUAAAGGUACUUUGAGAGGUUAACUGUUUCCUAAGUUACAAGAGAAAAUACUGCCACCAGCUGACUUGUUUUAAUCCCAUAGCUAUAUUUCUGCUCUAAUCUCCAGUUUUAAAAAUGAUCUGCUAAUUACAUUUCUCUACACACCAACUGAAAAUUACCAACUGAACAUUUUCCUUGUUGACAGUUUCCCACAAGAUGAAUUUGAUUUAUCAAAAAUACAGCUUUCUGAACUUAGUAUUAUUGACAUUUACUUGGUGCAGUUAACUUUUUUGUUAAAGGUCUGUUGUCAAGCAUUUAAGUAAUUUGUAGUUGUAAAAAGCCACUGGUGGAAAGUAAUAAGGCAGUAUUUUGAGUGCCCUUCUCAAUAAGUACAUACUAAACCAAAGGAAAGCUGGGUUAUGGUAAUAACAUUUUAAUAAAUGUCAUCCUCAAUUGGAAAUGGAGACUGUGUUAUGGUAUAUAGGACACACCAUAUGGAGAAGAUUCUUGGAGAACACAGUUUUGCUUCAUACUUUAAAAUUCCUGAUUGCUAAUCUUACAUAGAAAAGCUUUGUUUACAAGCUAUUUUAAAAUAACCUUUUGGCAGGUAGGCAAGACUGACUGGCAAGGGUGCACUCAAGACAUUGUGUCUUGUGGAGUGGUCCCCAAAGAAUUCCUGACAGAGGCACCUGACAGCACAAAUUAGCUCUUCAGUGUAUAAGCACAAAGCACCAAAAAGGCUGAGAUUUCUUCCUAGCUACAUGCUCUCUCCCGCUAUUGUUUAUUACACUCCACCCGCUCCAUGGUGAAGCUGACAAAGGAGAUACUAUUAAUUUCCUUUCCCACUGAAUAAUCCCCUCUGUAAUUUCUACAACAAAAGGUAAAUAGGACAAUCAUCUUCGAAAAUGAAUUAGGCCAGAUUGGUAGUACCCAAAAGGAGAAUUAAUGACCAUUGUCAUAAACUCUGAAAAGCUGUUGGCGCUACUGAUAAUCUAGAUAAUUAAGCAAAAAUUUGAAAAUUAUUUCUAAGAUUGUCUAAUGAAGUUCACUAAGUGUUUUUGUUAGGUUAUCACUAUUGGGCACCAUGGGGAAAGCAAAAUAAUUGUAUAGCUAGGUCAUUGCCCCAAAGGAAAACAGGAAAGAUGUCACAUGAAGUGUUUAAGAAUCAAAAUGUAAUUAGCUGAGUGUGGUGGUGCCUGCCUGUAGUCCCCGCUGAGGUGGGAGGAUCUCAUGAGCCCAGGACUUUGAGGCUGCAGUGAGCCAUGAUUGCACCACUGCAGCCUGGGCAACAGAGUGAGACUGUCAAAAAAAAAAAAAAAUCAAUGUGAGCUCAGUGCAGUGAUGUGCACCUAUAAUCCCAGGUACUCUGGAGGCUGAGGCAGGAGAGUCACUGGAGCCCAGUAGUUUGAGACCUGCCUGGACAAAAUAGUUGAGAUUCUGUCUCAAGAAAUUAAAUAAAUAAUCAAAAUGUGGGCAGGUGAGAAAAACAUUAGUGACCUACUUCACUUUUGAGACCUGGCAGAAAAGUGAUUGAAUGAGCUAAGGGGGAAGGGAAGUAUGGAACACUUCAAAUAGUAUAGUAAUUUAGGGAGUUCUUUUGGUUAGGUUUGUUGCCUGAGAUCUUGGAGAUGACAAUCGCAGUGAUAAUGAUACUCUAGGUGAUUUACAGUUUAGUUUCAUAUUAUCUGCUACAAAUACGCUGGGAGUGUCAUCAGAAUUAAAAGAAAUAUUAGCAGUUCUACAUGGAAUUUAUGUGUUUUCUUAUCUCAAGUUGAAAAUUUUUUUUUUGGUUAAAUUUGUUUUACAUUUACCUUUCUUUAAAAGUGCUGUUUUGUUCAGAUGUAAUGGAAUUGUGCCUACACAGGAUUUUUGGCCACUAAAUUUGUGAAUAGGGUCCUUUAAAGGCAUACUAUUGACACCCGAUAGUGUAACUUUAGUCUUUUAGUUAUAUCAAAUAUGAACAAACCUAAGACACAAUCUUGUGUUUUUAAGGAUAAGUUCCUAGUUCUUUCCUCUUAUUCAACAUCAAACAACACUUACAGAAAAUAUUAUUUUCUUCGAAUCAGGUUUACAAAUUCCGUUAGUUCCAUUAUAAUAUAAUUGAGAGUAUUUUAUCAUGGAAGUCAGGAGUUCGCAGAAAGCCAAGCUGUGUGAUAUGUCACAGAAAAUUCAAGUAAAUUAAGGACUAAAAACUGUCCACAGACAUUGACAGUUUAGAUCAUAUAUGUAGUUGUAAUGUGUUUUCUGUUAUACCUGAAAAAUCCCUUAACUGCUCUUAGGUUGAGUAAUAAACAAUUAACGGGUGUUUUAUCUCACUUUGAACAUAACUACCAAAAAGGUAUUAAGAUUCAGAGAUUGCUGUUUUAAUAUUCUGCACAUAGUGUAUUUUAAAGCCCUUGUUAAACAGAAGUAUUAUGUAGAUACAGGCAUGGGCUAGUUUUAGUCAUAAUAGUAACACUGACUUAAUGUUACCGUAAUAGAUGGCCGAAAGAGUUGACUAAACUCUAAAAACAGAUACAUAAGCAAAUUAAAGUAUAUUUUUCUGUUUUAAAAACAAAUUUACAUACUUUUUAAGAGUUCGGACGAAAAACCUAAGAAUAAGAAUCCUAUCUGCCAUUCAUUUCUUUUUGUAGUGAAUGAAGCUUAUACAGAAUAAAUAAGUUCCAGAUAAAUUCAACAGGUGAAUCGGAUACCUGCUCUAUGUCAGGUGCUGGGAAUAUACAGAAGAUAAAACAAAAACAAACACAAAAAAACCAACUCCACAUUAUGGAAUUCACAUUGUAAAAGGAAUACAUUUCCCUAUAAUAAUAAUUACAGACAUGUAGUGAGGACAAUCCAUGGGCCACCUGAGUUGUUUUCAAACCUGAGUUCCACUCAUACACCUGUUCUAGAGCCCUUGCUCCAAAACCACUAUUGAUAUUCCAGUUGUAUGUUUUAAAAAAGCCAUUUCCCAUUGAUUUUUGUUAUAAUUGUACCUAUUUUUUUUAAAAAAAGAUGAUAAUUUAGUUUCACCAGGGCUGUUUUCUUUCUUUCUUUUUUUUUUUUUGAGACGGAAUCUUGCUCUUGUUGCCCAGGCUGGAGUACAAUGGCACGAUCUCGGCUCACUGCAACCUCCACCUCCCAGGUUCAAGCAAUUCUCCUGCCUCAGCCUCCUAAGUAGCUGGGAUUACAGGCGCCCGCCACCACGCCCAGCUAAUGUUUGUAUUUUUAGUAGAGAUGAGGUUUCACCGUGUUGGCCAGGCUGGUCUCGAACUGCUGACCUCAUGAUCCGCCCACCUUGGCCUCCCAAAGUGCUGGUAUUACAGGCAAGAGCCACCGCGCCUGGUCAGCCAGGGCUGUUUUCUAUCUCCUAAACAGGAUAACACUGCAGGAGGUACUUCACCUUUAAGAGCUUACAAUGUUGUAGCAAGUGCCCAACUACCUUGUGGAGGAAUCUAGACCCCAUAGCCAGACAUCACAUUUUAUGAUGUACACUCUAAACAUGGUAAAAGUUCAAAGAAGCAGGAGUGCACUGUGAGUAGGUAGAGAAUGCAUCUCUCUGGAGCAGAAACGUCAGAUUAUUUUAACAGUAUAAGCUAUGGAGAGCGAUUAUGAGCCUUGUGGUGCCUGAGAACAGGAAAGAAAGAAGUAUCCUACCUUCCUUAUAUAAUUUAUACCUCGGGGUAACUAAAUGGUUGUGAGGGAGAUUUCCUCAUUACAGAAUAAUUCCAGUUUCACAGUGCAGAACGUCUGAUAGAAUGUUAACAUUUACAACAGCUCAUGAAAUAAAGCUAGACCUCUUCAAUGGCUAACUUAAUGGUUGAAACCAUUAAGUAAAAUGCUGAUGGAGAAGUAUGUGAUUAAUGAAUCAGUAGUAGAGAAGUAUUUAAUUCAUGGAUCAGGGCAACCGCACUUCAACUCACUGAUCAAUUUUAAUAUUACAAAAACAGAUAACUAGAUAUUCUAGUUCAAAUAAUUGAACUAGAUAGUGGUUUACUAAGACUCUAGACUCUCAUCAAGUUUCUAGAUCUGAUGAGUAGUUUAUUAGAAAUUUAAGAUAUAGGGGAACAUUGUUAAAUCACCACAGGAGCACAAGUAGCAAAAAUCCACACUGAAAUUCUAUAAGACAAAUGAUCUAAGGAAAAAAAAUUUUUAAGGAAAGAAGGGCAGGAAAACCUGUAGAGUAAAAUGAAUUUAAAGAUAUUUAUCGGUUUAAUUGCAAUGUAUAGACCUUGUUUGGAUCCUAAUUUGAUCAAAGCUAACCACAAACACAUUUAUGAGACAAUUGGAGAAAUUUUAAAACUGACUGAAUAUUAGAAGUUAAAGAAUUGUUUUUGAAAAUGGUAUUGUGGUUAUAGUUUUUAAAAAUCUUUUGGUAUAUGCAUACUAAAUAAUUUACUAAUGAAUGAUAUGAUCGGACUUUGCUUCAUACUUUAAUCCAUGGGGGAUGGGAAGCAUAUAUGGGAGUACACAGGAAAGAAGCUUGUCUUAGUGUUGGUAUUGAUGAUGGGUGAUGGGUAGAUGGGUUUUUUUAUUCUGUUCUACUUUUGUGUAUAUUUAGAAUGUUCCAUAAUAAAAACUCAAAAACACGUAAAACAAGACAAAGAAAGAUUCCUGUGGUUUGGAGACAACCAAAGCAAAGUGAGAACACAUACAAAACCAUGUGAAGGUCAGUAAGGUGCAGCUAAGUGUUCUUAGGGUAUCCUCCCAGGCCACUUUGAAAUACUACCUUGAAGUCUAUCAGAGGAUCAGUCCAUUUUCCUUAUACUCCAGAUCAAAUAUAUUGACUAAUAUAGUGCAAGUUCACACAUACCCACAACAAGGAUACCAUUGUUUAAAUAUAUCUAUUAUAAUUAAAACUAGUAAUUAGAAUUAAUAAGAGAUGUGUUGAGAACUUUUACUAAGUACUUUGUAUGUAUAAAGUACUUGCUUUAAUGUUAGCCUAUUAAACUUAAUAACUUUCCAUUUUAAAUAUUAUUUUUCUAGUUCCAUAGUCUUUUUCUAGAAGUAUGCCUUAUUUCACAUUCUUAAACAAGUACUCUAAGCAAAAUCAGCUCACUAAAAAAAUUUGUUUGGCUUUAACUGCUUUCAAUAAGCUUAGUUCUGUUUUUCCUCUUUUAUUUUGUUAUUCCUCCUGUCUAACUGAAACUUUGUACCCUUUAGCCAACAUCUCCCCAGUACCUUACCCCCUCUGUCUAUAAGCCCCUGGUAACACUAUUCUCUCCUUUCUGCUUCUCUGAGUUUGACUUUUUUAUAUUCCACAUAUAAAUGAGAUCAUGUAGUAUUUGUCUUUCUAUGCCUGGCUUAUUUAGUGUAAUGUCCUCCAAGUUUAAACAUGUCGUUGCAAAUGAUAGAAUGUUUGUCCUUUUAAAUGGAACUCUAAUAAUUGUUCUAGCAAUUUAUUCGAUUUUUUGUUUCCAGUUAGAUUCCUUUUUUCUUAACCUUCUUUGUGUGUGUGUGUGUGUGUGUGUGUGUGUGUGUGUGUGUUUAGACAGGGUCUCACUGUCAUCCAGGCUGGAGUGCAGUGGCGUGGUCACAGCUCACUGCAACCUUCAACUCCCAGGCUCAAGCGAUCUUUCCACCUCAGCCUCCUGAGUAGCUAAGACUACAGGCACACGCCACCACCCCUGGCUAAUUUUUGUAUUUUUUGUAGAGACAGGGUUUUGCCAUGUUGCCCAGGCUGGUCUCAAAACUACAGGGCUCAAUUGAUCGCCCACCUCCGUCUCCCAAAGUGCUGGGAUUAUAGGUGUGAGCCACCGCGCCCAGCCCCCAUCAAUAUAUGUUAACACUUAGCAGUUAGUUCAUUGUGCAUCUACAUAUUACCAGUGUUAUUAAUCUAAUUUAAAUAUUUAACUGAGUGCUGUUACUGCUUUGAAUAUAUUAGCACACUACAAAGGUAAAAAAAUAUAACCAACCUGUGGAUCAAAAGAAACAAUGAUUUUGCAUUUUACUAAGCACAGAAAUUAUCAUGUUUUUGAAUGUGUACCACAAAUGCCAGGCAUACACACACAUAUAUAAAUAAGGUUGAAGGAGGCCGGGCGCGGUGGCUCACGCCUGUAAUCCCAGCACUUUGAGAGGCCGAGGCAGGUGGAUUACUUGAGGUCAGGAAUUCGAGAGCAGCCUGGCCAACAUGGUGAAACCUGGUCUCUACUAAAAAUACAAAAAAUUAGCCGGGCAUGAUGGUGCAUGCCUGUAGUCCCAGCUACUGGGGAGGCUGAGGCAGGAGAAUCGCUUAAACCCCAGAGGUGGAGGUUGCAGUGAGCUGAGAUCGUGCCACUGCACUUCAGCCUGGGUGACAGAGUGAGACUCUAUCUAAAAUAUAUAUAUAUAUAAGGUUGAAGGAAUAAACACAUUGAAGCAUUAUUACAAAUAUAAGAUACUUUUUUUUCUUUUCUUGUUUAAAAAUAAAUAGAGGCAGGGUCUCACUUUGUUGCCCACGCUGGUCUUGAGCUCCUGGGCUCAAGUGAUCCUCCUGCCUCAGCCUCCUAAAGUGCUAGGAUUACAGGCGUUAGCCACCACACUUGGCCAAGAGAGUUCUUUCAAAUUUACCAAUAUUAUCACUAUUAAAUAGCUUUUAUUUUGAAGUAUAUAUCCUAGUGACUUUUUAACUUCAUAUAUCUUAUCCUGUAUAUACGUAGUGAAUCACUAUCUGGACUCAUUAGUUAGACGUUGAACUUAGCCGUGACCUUAUCUACUACAUACAUGGGCAUUUUCUGUUGUUAUUAACCCUGGGACUUAAGUUGCCUUAGAAAUAUUAAUGAUAAUUGCUAUAUGUAUAGAUGUUACCACUAAUAUCUUUAGUAUUCUCUGCUGACUAUCCAUGAACCCUGUGGAGUUUAUUAUGCUGGAAGUCACAGUGUAUUCCUUAAACCCUUCUGAUUCUGCCUUAUGGCCUCCUCCCUUGUUGAGUAUCUUCUUAAAAGGAAUCAGAAACCACUCUUCCCACAUUCUCCAAUAGUCAAGUCACACCAUGAACACGGUUCCAAGAAGCGGAAAGGUCCUCUACCACUUCAAGGAAAUUAGGAAGAAAAAAAAAGAGAGAAAAACAACGUGUUGUUCCAGAAGGUAGUAUGCAAGUUCUCAAAUGACCUCUAGGCAUUUUGGUUCAAGGUCCAUCUUUUUCCUUUAUCAUGUCACUCUUCUUUUUUCCUAUUAAAGAAUAAUUUUUAUAUCUUUUUAUGUGACUGGUAAAAAUAAUAUUCCCCUUCUCCAAAAGUCAUGGUCAGUUAGCUAUAUAAAGGUAGUUGGUAAUGAAACUUCAUGUUCUUGUGGUUUUUAAAAUACAGAGUCUCACUCUGUUGCCAAGGCUGGAGUGCAGUAGCAUGAUCAUGGCUCACUGCAGCCUCGACUUCCUGGGCUCAAGUGAUCCUCCUGCCUCAGAGCCUUGAAUAACUGGGACUACAGGUGCACAUCACCACAUCCAACUAAUUUUUAAAAUUUUUUGUGGAGACAGAGUCUCACUCUGUUGCCCGGGCUGGUCUUGAACUCCUGAGCUCAAGUGAUUCUCCCAUCUCAGCCUCCCAAAGUGCUGGGAUUACAGAUGUGAGCCACCAUGCCCAGCCUUGUUUUUUUUGUUUUUUGUUUUUUGUUUUUAAUGUAAGAAAAGGUAAGAAAAAUAUGGUGGUGGUCUUACAGGUACAUAUGUGGUUUAUGCACUGUGAAGCUGUUGAAAGGAGUGGAUGAUGAUGAAAUGCAUGCAGUUGAGCUAGGCUCAGUGGAAAGUCAUGUUGGGGAACAGAUGGAGUUUUGAAGUGCUAAGAGAAUGAUUUAAUGAAACUGGGGUCAUAAAAUUGCUAGAAAGAAUGUAGGCUGAUUUCUUCCAGAAUUUAAAGGCUCUGGGAAUAGGAAGCCAGAAGAGUAAGAACAGAAACAGAUCAGCUUGAACACCAGAGUUGCGCCUUUGGAUGAACUCUGGGGAAAGGGUAUGUUUUCAGAGAAAAAUAAAAAAGGAUCUGGGAUCAUUUACUCUAUCAUUUGUUUAACAAUUAUUAGUGUGUGUGUGUGUGUAUGUGUGUGUAUAUAUAUAUAUUUUUUGAGAUGGAGUCUAGCUCUAUUGCCCAGGCUAGAGUGCAAUGGUGCGAACUCGGCUCACUGCAACCUCUCUCUCCCUCCUAGGUUCAAGAGAUUCUCCUGCCUCAGCCUCCCAAGUAAUUGGAAUUACAGGCCCAUGCCACCCCACCCGGCCAAUUUUUUUUGUAUUUUUAGUAGAGAUGGGGUUUUGCCAUGUUGGCCAGGCUGGUCUCAAACUCCUGACCUCAAGUGAUCCGCCAGCCUCGGCCUCCCAAAGUGCUGGGAUUACAGGCACGAGCCACCAUGCCGGACCUAUUAGUGUAUUUACUGGAUAUCAAGAUGACUAAGAAAUAGCACUUGCCUUGAAGGAGCUUUUCUAUUUGAGGAAAAAGACAUGUAUAUAAAUAACUGCAAACAGAAUGAAACAAGUGUUAUGUAGAUCUACAUACAGUGACAUGCCAUGGGAAUGCUGAACACUGAGCAACAGUUUCAACUAGCGAAUUGGCACAGGAAACAUGAAAAAUAAGCGUAUUUUCAAUAUGACAAGAAUGGUCAUUUCUGGAUAUAAGAACAAGAGAAAAGUCAUGGGUAUAUGGAAAGGCAUGGACUCUUCAAGGAAGAGCAAGUAGUCUAAUGUAGAUGCUGUAUAGGAAUCUGGGGACAAAGGGACAGAUAAGUGGUGUAGACAAAGAGGCUGGAAAUAGGGUUAUGGGCUAGAUCAUGAGUGACCUGUAAGCAUUAGGAGUUUUGAUUUAUUUUGGAAUAAGAAACAUUUAUGGCUUUUGAGAAGGAAAAUUACACAAGGGAAAAGAAAGGAUUUUUAUUUUUUAUUUUUAUUUUUGGAGAGAUGAGAUCUCACUAUGUUGCCCAGGCUGGUCUUGAACUCCUGAACUCAAGCAAUCCUCCCGGCUCGGCCUCUGAAACUUCUAGGAUUAUAGGCGUGAGCCACUACGCCCAGCCAGGAUUAUGUUUUUUUAUGGGAGGGAUGAGAAUAUUGGUAGGUGGGUAGAGGAUAAAUGAGAGAGAAUAUGUAUAUGUGAGAUUGAAUAUAUAAUAGAAAAAAUUGAUAGGACAAGUCCUGCGUUAUUACUACAUUUUAUGAGGAAAAUCUAUAUAUUAGAAGCACUUUAAAGGUAUAUUUGCUAUUCUAGCUGUGGAAACCAUCUGAAAACACAUUUGAAAGUGCUUUGAAACAGGGGUCAACUUCUCUGCAAAGGGCCAGAGUAUGUUUAGCUUUGCGGGCCACAGAUGGCCUCUGUUGCAUAUGCUGCUGGGUCUCCACCUUCCUCCUCCUUUUCUUCCCUUCCUCUUCCUUCUUUUUCUUCUUCUCUUUCUUCUUUCUCUUUAAAAGCAUAAAAUCAUUCUCAGCUCUUGGGCCAUACAGAAACAGGCCAUAGGCCAGAUUUGACUUCUAGGCCAUAGUUUGCCGACCCUCCAUUUUAGAACUUAGCUUUCCUGAAAGAGCAUUUGGGUCUCUCUCUCUCUUUCCCUUUCUCUCUCUCUGUCUCUCUCUCUCUCUCUUUCAGUAAGUGAAGUAAGAAAUAGGUCUUUCUUGAGGAACAAAAAGCUGAAAUAAUUUCAUGCAUUUGAAUAUGACCCUUGACCUGUUUUUGUCCAUCAUCACUCAGAUUUGUGGCUGCAACCACCAACCAAUUUGGUGCCAUAGGAUAUAGCAUAAUUUUUCAGCAACAGUUCAUAAGCUUUUCUUUUUGUUCUUUUUCCUUCUUCCAGUUGUGGUGGUUUAAAAACAUGUCUGCAAAAUCUUUGACACUUCUCAGUAAAAAAUAUAGUCUUGUGUUCCCUUUUCUUGAACCUAAGUGGCCUUUGUGCUGCCUCAACAAAUAGAAUAUGACAGAAAAGACACUAUGUGACUUUUGAGACAGGGUCAUAAGAGGUGAUACAGCUUCCCCAUGCCCCUGCAUUUUAGAGCUCUGGGUUGCCAUGUAAGAAUAGCUACCCUGAAGCUACCAUGCUGAAGAGACCACAGGGAAAUCACAUAGAGUUAGAAAGAGGUGUCUGAAGAAGCCCAGCUGCUCCCAAUCCCAGCUAUUUAAGUCCUCCCAGACCAGGUGCCAUAUAUAUGAGUGAGCAAGCCUUCAGAUGGUUCCAGCACCAGCCACCAUCUAGCUGUAAGCUCAUGAGACCCCUUCAACGAAAACCAUCUAGAUUAGCUUAGUCAAGCCCCAGAACCGUGAAAGACAAUAGACUUGCUAUGGAGGUCGCCACAUGCCUCUUUUUUCUCCCUUUGUGAAUGGGAUUAUUUAUAAUGGUUACCCCAUACCUACUCCACUAUGUAUAUUGGGUAUGAGGGAGAGAUAAUUUGUCUCACUAGCUGACAGAUUUUUCAGACCUCAAGGAAUGCCACGUGAGCUGUACUCACAGGACCACACACAAGUAUCUUUAUCCACACGUGACCUGAUUUCACUGAUAAAGUCCUGGACCUUGAGCCUGAGCCCAAUGUCUUAAUAAAUGAGAAUUUCAGAAGGUCUUGGGAGGGGGUGAGUAUAUUUUGCAUGUGGGAAGGAUGUAAAUAAUAUGUGGCCUGAGAGCAGAUUAUGGUGGUUUGAAAAUGUGUCCACCAAUUCUUUAAUACUACUCUCAACAAGAGGUGGAAUCUGUGUCUCUUCCUUUGGAACAUGAGUGGACCUUUGUGAUUAAAUGCAGCAGAAGGAUGCUGUGUGAACUCUGAGACAGGGUAAUAAGGGGUGAUACAGCUGCCACCUAGUUCUUUCUCAGAACAUGUGCCUUUGGAGCCCUGAGCUGCCAUGGAAGAAAACCACCUACCCUGAAGCCACAACACUGGAAAGACCAUGUGGAAGAACCACAGAGAGAGAGAAGAGGACCAAAUGUGUGAGCCUUCCCAGCCCAGGCUCCAAAUAUGCAAGUAGUAAGCCUUCAUUUCUUUUUGGUUUUAAUUUUUUUUUUUAAAUAAAUCGAAAUGGGUUCUCACUAUGUUGCCCAGGCUGGUCUUGAACUCCUAAGCUCAAGUAAUCCUCCUACCUCAGUCUCCCAAAGUGCUGGAAUUGUAGGCAUGAGCCACCAUGCCCGGCUGCAAUUAGUAAGUCUUCAGAUGCUUCCAUCACCAGCCACCAUCCGAUGACAACCCCAUGAAUGACCCUCAGCAAGAACUACCUAGCUGAAUCCAGCCAAACUCCAGACCCAUGAGAGAGAAAUAAAAUUGUUGUUUGAGUCACUAAAUACGGAGUAAUUUAUAUUAUCAACAGAUAACUGGAACCACAAGUGUAAUUGUUAAAGGUAAAACUUUGAAUACAUUUAUAUUUGCCUUCUGCCACAUUCCAUAAUUGACUUUUGUUCAUGAACCUAUUGGCAAGUUUGCCUUAUUGCUUUUCCUUCUUCCCUCUUUUUUUUUUUUGUAACUUAAAAAAUCAUAUAAUAAAACAACACAAAAAUGUAUUUGAAUGUAGGUUGAGUGACCGUAAAUAAGCACAAAACUUCUCCUUCCUGUGACUCUCUUGUCUGUAUAUGCCAAGUAUCUAACACAAGGCCUGCCUGGCACAUAAUUUUUUUUUUUAAAUGUUAGUCUCUUUUAUCAUUCUUUUUCCCUGUCAGUGGUAUUAUCUUUACCCAUGGAAUCCAGCACCCUCAUGCUGACUUAUAGUUCCCCAAAGUCCCUAACCUCUACAGUCCUCUCCAACCCCCACCCCAGGCCUCUCUCUAUGUUCCAGACAUUUUCUGGCUUUUUACCAUUAUCCAAACUCUGAACUUAUCUACUUAGUUUUUAUAAAAAAACACAGAGUGACUACAUAGCUAAUAUAAAUAAUGCCAGUGUUAACACAAAAAUUUGACUUGAAUGAUUACAAUAGCAAACUUCAAUGUUUACCCCAUGGAAUAGGCAGAAAAUUUCAAGCACUUUUCUAGGCCACCUGAGUCUAUUUUGAGUAAGGAUCCUUAAGUUGAUACUCAAGUAAUGACAUUGAUGCAAUGUAGAAGACUAUGCUAAAAUUUGUCCUGGCUUCUCUCCAUGCUAUGGGCCAUCUGUAAAGCUUUGGAGUCUAGGUCAGAUGUAUGCGUUGUCUCCUCUUUGCUACCAUUUUUGUACAGAUUUCUAAUCUAAAUAAAAUUAAUGGCAAUAACAGUGUGGAAAGGGAAAGCCUAAAAGAAAGAGGGUUUUUGAAGAGUGGGGGACCAGAAAAGAAGAGGACAAUUUUACCUGAAUUGUUUUACUUUAGAAAAUAAAUUUGUUCAUGUGAUUCUGUGAGUCAAUUUACACAUGUAUAUAAAUACACAUUUCUUUAUUUAACCAUUAUUAUUAUCACUAUGUGAUCCCUCAAUGUGCUGGCUACCACGGGUGUAAGAUAAAUUACAGAAACUCCUUAUUCUGAAGGAUUCCAACAACAAUUUGGCAUUGUGCACUGUAUGGGGCCUGGGAAAAUCCUCUGAUUUGCCAUACCUUAGGAAAGGUCUUUGCAUGAUACUAGGCCAUGUCUCUUACUACAAUGAUGAGCAUUCUUAGAUUUAAAAAUAAUACCAAGCUGUCAGGAAAACUGAAUUCCAUCAAUAAUAACAUCUUUUCAUAAACUGAAAGCUUGCAAAGCCUUAAUUAAAAAAAUGAAUUUAUUACUAAGUGAAUUUAAUUCACAAAAGGAAUUUUCCCCAAUAUUUAGGCUGUUGUUGGUUUUGGCUUUGUUUUUAAUUAACAUUUUUAGUUGUAUGGUUUGAUCAAAUACUGAAUUUGAGUUCAAAGAUACAUUUCCUCUGAGGAUGCAGUCUAAAGAGGCCAAGUAAAUAAUAGAAAAUCAUAGUUUCCAAGUUUCGCAGAACAAAGCUCAGUAGUUCCAUGACUUUUUCAGUGUUCUACAGAAUUGAGCUACUCCCUCUUACACAAAAAAGUGCUCUAAUUUUCAUUUUUUUCUUCUUUGCUCAGUUUCUUCAUUUAUUUGCCUACUUUCUUAAUUUCUUCCUAAGUAAAUAUAUAGCUAUCUUUGAGGAGAAGUGAUGUAACAUCAGAAACAAAGAGUAGACUCACAAUUAGAGCCCACUGACUCAUGGGACUUUAGAUAAACCACUAAUCAGGAAACUGGGGGUGUUAAUGCUGUUUAGUUAGUUGAUUGAGGAGGUGAGGACAAAACCUGGUGACUUCAGGGCCUCAGCAACAGAACUCCUACCUAUUUCCAUUGCUACCACUUACCUUAUGGGCAUUAGAUAAUUCUGCAGUGAGUUAUUCUGUGCAUGAGGGGGCAAAGGCUUUAGAGUCAGGUAGCUGGGGAGUUAUUUUCUCUCUCUGCUAUUUAAUAGCUGUAUGACCUCAGGUGAAUUUCUUAAUCUCCGUUUCCUUGUUUGUAAUACCCAUCAUGAGAAGUUGUUCUGAGGAUCACAGAUACUAUACCUAAAGUACCCAACAAAGUCCUGACACAAGGAAGGUGUUCCAUAAACGGUAGCUAUUUGAAGUAGUCUAAAAGGUCCCUUUCAAAUGUUUAAUACACCCAUAUAAUCCCAAUCUUAAUCUCUCACUCUCUUGUUGGCCCAUCAUUAGAGCACCAGAUCCCCUUGACUGCUUUCCAGGGUAAGGAUGCAAGACCACUGAGAACUGUGCCGCGCUGGUAAGAAGAGGUGCUGAUGGCAUGCUGUUGCCUCUGCCAGACAGACUCUGUCUUUGCUGAAGUGUUUAGUAUUGCUAUUGUGGCAAAUGCCAUUUUAGUCAAAGGCAAUAAAUCUUCCUUUGUUUAAAUGACAGAUGGCUAGGAUUGUUACUUCUGUUUCUAGCAAACCCAGAAAGGGAAAAAAUAAAUUACUGACAUUCAGAGUUCUUGUUUUUUAAGAAUAUUAGGGGGAAAAUGAAAAUAGUAUAGUUUCAGCAAAGUUAUAUAGUUUUUGCAGUCAACAGAAUAAUGGGCCCCCUAAUGAUGUUCACGUCCUAACCCCUAGAAUCUAUGAAUAUGUUAGGUUACAGGGCAAAGGGGAAUUAAGAGUGCAGGUGGAAUUAAGAUUAAUUAGCUGACCUUAAGAUAGGGAAUGUAGCAUAAUUUAUCCAGGUGAGCCCAAUAUAAUCACAAUGGAAGACAGAGACAGAAGAAUCAGAGUCAGAGAAGACGUGGCUACAGAGGAGAGAGUGAUGAGAUGUGAGGAUUCUGCCUGCCAUUGCUGGCUUUCAAGAUGAAGGAAGGGGGCCAUGAACCAAGGGGAUGCCUCUAGAAGCUGGAAAAGGUAGGUGCUAUUAACAGUGAAAUGACAAUGCAAAAGCAAAGCAGAGGAAAGCACCAGCAAAGGACAUGCCUCGCUGACUGCAGAUUACAGUGUCCUCUACUCAAUUCCUAUCUUAAUAUGUAUCACAUGCCCUGCCUGAGAUAAUGAGGACUCUCCCAUUCCCUCAGUCUUCAGGUUGCCUCUACUUCUCUUCCAUUUUCUUUUUCCUUGAUAUGAUCCUCUUCUUUCUCAUUCUUCUCUUCUUUCAUUUCCUGAGUUGUUUUCUCUCCACUUCUUCCCCCUCUACUCUGAUAGGAAAUAUUAUAGCAGUAGCCCAAGCUAGAAGAAAAAGGACACACCUACCAGCUCCCUCCCUCCCUCACAACACCUACACGGCUGCUGGGGAAGCCUUGAAUGAAAGCUAGAAAAGAACAAAUAGGAAAAGAGGCAUUUGAAAACAGAACAGAAAUAGUCACAGACGGGUGACAGGCAGGAGAUGCCACCUCAUUGACAGCUGCCACCAUUUUCCAUAGAGAAGUUAUUCCAUUGUAGUAUACACCAGGGCUGGGUUUAAAUAUUUUUCCUAUGUACUUGGUAGUAUAGUGGAAGCUCCUCCAUUUCUCUAAAUAGUUAACUGCAUACUUAGAGCUCUUGGUAGCGUUUAGAACACGGAGUUAAUUAUUCUGAGUGUACCUAGCCCCAUCACUGUCUGUAAUCUGUACAAAAUUUGAUAAGCCCUUUUAAGGUAGUUAGAUAUUUAUUGAGACUCUGCUGUAUAUUUGGCAGUGCCCCAGAUAUAGGUAGUGGUGGUGACAGCAAGCAAUAGGACCAGUGGAGCCUGCUUUUUAAUAGAGAGUGAUCUCUCUGGUAUUGUUGUAAGUACAGCAUAUAAGCAACUUGAGGUGUUGUCUUAAAGAUGUGAGCUCACCUAAUUUACACAAGAGCAUCAAAGCCAGAAUUCCUCCCCUUGCUGAUGUUAGCCUGUAACUCUGUGCCUCUCAAGUGUAUAACUUCUUCUGUGGGAAUCAUGCUUCUGAAGCAUGAGGAAAGAACACACCCGUGUUUCCACUUUCUCUGCUGCUUUGCAUGUGAUCCCUCCAGGUAUGCAAAAUAAUGCCUCAAUAUCAUUUUGACCUGUGUUGUCAUUUUACAUAUUUUAUCAGAAGACUUCAUAUCGGAUGGAAGCAAAUCUUUAGAAGGGUUGUUAUAACAACUUGAACAGCCCAUCAUGCUCUAGGCAUGCUCCCUAUCACGGCUAUGUUUUCAUUCAUUAGAGAUGGAGGAGGAGGCGGCUUAAAAUGUGUAAUUCUAAUCACCUAUUCCUACAGCUCUCUAACUGGUCUCCGUGGCUUCUCUUGCCUUCCUCCAGUCUUGCCCGUGAACCUUGAUUAGAGGACAACACAACACUAACAGCCACUCCUCCCUCUCCCUCCUGACUCCUUAUUUGAGUUAGAGGCUCUCGUAACACCUGCGUCUUCCCCUUUGUCAGCAGUCAUCACAACGAAUUGUGAUUGCCUAUUUACUCAUCUGCAUCUCCCACUGAAUUCUGAUCCAUGGUGGCUGGCCCAUGCCUGUCUUGUGUACAUUUGCAUGUAAACCACUUAACCCAAGUGCCAGGAAGCAAACAGUACACGCAGGUGUGUGGAGUGAUUGAAAGCUAAUUUGCUACCUAAGAAUGUACAGUGAUUCCUCAGUGUUUAUUAGAUCAGGCCCAGACUCUUCAUUUCAGUUUUCAACUCCUCUGAUUUUUCUUUUAUACAAGCUUUCAGAUCUCCUCUUGGUUCUCAUCUAGCUCUUGCAUCUUUAUGCCGUGGGUUGAUUCCUCUGCCUGCCUAUCUGUAGUAGCUUGUCUCCUAGGAUGGCUGCCAUCAAUUUCUUCUCUUCUGUAUACACAUGCCACUCCCGCAUUGAGAGAUGGAGUCUUCUUUCCCCCUGGAAUCUGGUCUGGCCUGUGACUAAUUUCAAUAAUAGAAUCUUGCAUUUCUAUUGAAACUACCAAAAAAAAAAAAUUGUGUCAGCUACUACAGCUACUAAGUUUUGGGAUGGUUUGUUAUAUGGCAAUAGAUAUCCUCAAUACCAUUCUUCAAAGUCCCAAACCUACAUUUUCUGUGAAGCCUUACCUUGCUAGUCUAGUUAACACUGAUCUCCUCCUUCUCUGAAGUUCUGUGGGAAUAGAACUUUGUUGAUGCCACACAUUUUGUUAUCCAACUGUAUGUAUUAUUACUUUUCCUUUCCUGAAUGCCAGUAUGAACUCCAUGACCAAAUUAUAUGGUCUUUGAAGAUACCAAAUAGUGGAAAUAGGUCUUUUGUAAUCCCUUCAACAAGUCCUAGUACUGAAUAAAAAUGUAAUGGCUGUUGAAUUGGAUUAAAAGUAAAAAUAUUCUUGGCCAUUUUAGCUCUCUGCCAAUUAUUUUGACUUUUCUUCACAGUAUCUUUGAGCGCAUUCUUUCAUAUCAUGAUUAUAAAAAGCAUGUGUGGCAGCAGGCAGCCCUUAGGAUCCUUCCCCCUGCAGACAGUCUGUGACAGUGCAGUGGUUCUCAAAACGUGGACCAGGAGCAGCAGCACCAGCACCUGGGAACCUGUUAGAAAUGCAAAUGCUUGGGCCUACCCCAAAUCUACUGAAAGAGAAGUCCUGGGGGUGGAGCCCAGCAUUCUGUUUCACCAAGCUUUCCAGAUAAUUCUGAUGCAUAUUAAAGGAUGAGAAUCAUUCUAGUGGUGGAAAGAGUCCUGGUUUAAGGUUAGAAGGUCUAGGAGUUUUUGGUCCUAACACAUUUUGGUCCUGAUGCUUAUGUAUCAAUGAGAAAGUUACUUAACUUCCCUGAGCCUCUCCUUCCUCAUCUGUGUUACGAUAAUCCUAACCCUGAGAUGGGAGAGUGUCUUAGUUCAUUUUUUUUGCUAUGAAGGAAUACCUCAGACUGGGUAACUUAUAAAGAAAAGAGGUUUGUUUUGACUCAUGGUUCUGCAAACUAUACAAGAAGGAUACUGCUGGCAUCUGCUUCUGCAAAGGCAUCAAGAAGUCUACGAUCACAGCGUAAGGCAAAGAGGGAGCAGGUAUGUUACACAGCAGGAGAGGGAGCAAAAAAAAAAUGGACAGGUUCUUUUUUUUUCUUUCUUUUUUUUUUUUUUCUUUUUGCCAGACGGAGUCUCGCUCUGUUGCCCAGGUUGGAGUGCAGUGGUGCAAUCUUGGCUCACUGCAAGCUCCACCUCCCGGGUUCACUCCAUUCUCCUGCCUCAGCCUCCCAAGUAGCUGGGACUACAGGUGCCCGCCACCACGGCCGGCUAGUUUUUUGUAUUUUUAGUAGAGACAGGGUUUCACCAUGUUAGCCAGGAUGGUCUUGAUCUCCUGACCUCGUGAUCUGCCCGCCUCGGCCUCCCAAAGUGCUGGGAUUACAGGCGUGAGCCACUGCGGCCGGCCAAAAACAGACAGGUUCUUAAACAACCAGCUCUCACAUGAACUAAUACAGUGAGAACUCACUUAUUACUGUGGGGAAGGCACCAAGGCAUUCAUGAGGGAUCCACCCUCAUGACCAAAACACUUCCCCCCACCUCCAACAUGGGGGGUCAUAUUUCAACAUGAGAUUUGGAGGUGACAAACAUCCAAACUAUGUCAGAGAGUCAAGUGAAAUCUCUUUUUUUUUUUUUUUUUUUUUUUUGAGAUGGAGUCUCACUCUGUCACCCAGGCUGGAGUGCAGUGGCGGGAUCGCGGCUUAUUGCAAGCUCCGCCUCCCGGGUUCACGCCAUUCUCCUGCCUCAGCCACCUGAGUAGCUGGGACUACAGGCGCCCGUCACCAUGCCCGGCUAAUUUUUUUGUAUUUUUAGUAGAGACGGGGUUUCUCCGUGUUAACCAGGAUGGUCUCAAUCUCCU